rnacentral:rRNA from 1 species
GCGUAGCCGACCUGAGAGGGUGAUCGGCCACACUGGGACUGAGACACGGCCCAGACUCCUACGGGAGGCAGCAGUAGGGAAUCUUCCGCAAUGGACGAAAAGUCUGAACGGAGCAAACGCCGCGUGAGAGACGAAGGUUUUCGGAUCGUAAAACUCUGUUGUGAGAAAAAAAAACAAGUACCAAUUAACUACUGGUACCUUGACGGUACCUCACCAGAAAGCCACGGCUAACUACGUGCCAGCAGCCGCGGUAAUACGUAGGUGGCAAGCGUUGUCCGGAAUUAUUGGGCGUAAAGCGCGCGCAGGCGGUCCCUUAAGUCUGAUGUGAAAGCCCACGGCUCAACCGUGGAGGGUCAUUGGAAACUGGGGGACUUGAGUGCAGAAGAGGAAAGUGGAAUUCCACGUGUAGCGGUGAAAUGCAUAGAGAUGUGGAGGAACACCAGUGGCGAAGGCGACUUUCUGGUCUGUAACUGACGCUGAGGCG